GGAGAGAUGGCCGAGUGGUUGAAGGCAACGGUUUGCUAAACCGUCAUACGAGGUAUUCCUUGUAUCGAGGGUUCGAAUCCCUCUCUCUCCG
rnacentral:tRNA from 1 species